rnacentral:rRNA from 1 species
GACGAACGCUGGCGGCGUGCUUAACACAUGCAAGUCGAACGGUGAAGCGCCUUCCUUUUUGGUGGGUGUGGAUGAGUGGCGAACGGGUGCGUAACACGUGAGUAACCUGCCCCCUUCUUCUGGAUAACCGCAUGAAAGUGUGUCUAAUACGGGAUAUUCUGGGUCUGUCGCGUGAUGGGUCUGGGACAGAUGUUGUUUCGGUUGGGGAUGGUCUCGCGGCCUAUCAGCUUGUUGGUGGGGUGGUGGCCUACCAAGGCGGUGACGGGUAGCCGGCCUGCGAGGGUGACGGGCCACAGCGGGACUGCGAUAGGGCGCAGACUCGUGGGGGAGUGAGCAGUGGGGAAUAUGGCACAAUGGGCGGAAGCCUGAUGGAGCAGCGCCGCGUGCGGGAUGACGCCCUUCGGGUUGUAAAACGCUUUCGCCUGUGUUGAAGGGUGGGUGACGGUAAUGGGUAAAGAAGCACCGGCUAACUACGUG